ACUAAGCGUACACGGUGGAUGCCCUGGCAGUCAGAGGCGAUGAAGGACGUGCUAAUCUGCGAUAAGCGUCGGUGAGGUGAUAUGAACCGUUAUAACCGGCGAUUUCCGAAUGGGGAAACCCAGUGUGUUUCGACACACUAUCAUUAACUGAAUCCAUAGGUUAAUGAGGCGAACCGGGGGAACUGAAACAUCUAAGUACCCCGAGGAAAAGAAAUCAACCGAGAUUCCCCCAGUAGCGGCGAGCGAACGGGGAGGAGCCCAGAGCCUGAAUCAGUGUGUGUGUUAGUGGAAGCGUCUGGAAAGGCGUGCGAUACAGGGUGACAGCCCCGUACACAAAAAUGCACAUAUUGUGAGCUCGAUGAGUAGGGCGGGACACGUGGUAUCCUGUCUGAAUAUGGGGGGACCAUCCUCCAAGGCUAAAUACUCCUGACUGACCGAUAGUGAACCAGUACCGUGAGGGAAAGGCGAAAAGAACCCCGGCGAGGGGAGUGAAAAAGAACCUGAAACCGUGUACGUACAAGCAGUGGGAGCCUCUUAAUGGGGUGACUGCGUACCUUUUGUAUAAUGGGUCAGCGACUUAUAUUCUGUAGCAAGGUUAACCGAAUAGGGGAGCCGAAGGGAAACCGAGUCUUAACUGGGCGUUAAGUUGCAGGGUAUAGACCCGAAACCCGGUGAUCUAGCCAUGGGCAGGUUGAAGGUUGGGUAACACUAACUGGAGGACCGAACCGACUAAUGUUGAAAAAUUAGCGGAUGACUUGUGGCUGGGGGUGAAAGGCCAAUCAAACCGGGAGAUAGCUGGUUCUCCCCGAAAGCUAUUUAGGUAGCGCCUCGUGAAUUCAUCUCCGGGGGUAGAGCACUGUUUCGGCAAGGGGGUCAUCCCGACUUACCAACCCGAUGCAAACUGCGAAUACCGGAGAAUGUUAUCACGGGAGACACACGGCGGGUGCUAACGUCCGUCGUGAAGAGGGAAACAACCCAGACCGCCAGCUAAGGUCCCAAAGUCAUGGUUAAGUGGGAAACGAUGUGGGAAGGCCCAGACAGCCAGGAUGUUGGCUUAGAAGCAGCCAUCAUUUAAAGAAAGCGUAAUAGCUCACUGGUCGAGUCGGCCUGCGCGGAAGAUGUAACGGGGCUAAACCAUGCACCGAAGCUGCGGCAGCGACGCUUAUGUGUUGUUGGGUAGGGGAGCGUUCUGUAAGCCUGUGAAGGUGGCCUGUGAGGGUUGCUGGAGGUAUCAGAAGUGCGAAUGCUGACAUAAGUAACGAUAAAGCGGGUGAAAAGCCCGCUCGCCGGAAGACCAAGGGUUCCUGUCCAACGUUAAUCGGGGCAGGGUGAGUCGACCCCUAAGGCGAGGCCGAAAGGCGUAGUCGAUGGGAAACAGGUUAAUAUUCCUGUACUUGGUGUUACUGCGAAGGGGGGACGGAGAAGGCUAUGUUGGCCGGGCGACGGUUGUCCCGGUUUAAGCGUGUAGGCUGGUUUUCCAGGCAAAUCCGGAAAACCAAGGCUGAGGCGUGAUGACGAGGCACUACGGUGCUGAAGCGACAAAUGCCCUGCUUCCAGGAAAAGCCUCUAAGCAUCAGGUAACAUCAAAUCGUACCCCAAACCGACACAGGUGGUCAGGUAGAGAAUACCAAGGCGCUUGAGAGAACUCGGGUGAAGGAACUAGGCAAAAUGGUGCCGUAACUUCGGGAGAAGGCACGCUGAUAUGUAGGUGAAGCGACUUGCUCGUGGAGCUGAAAUCAGUCGAAGAUACCAGCUGGCUGCAACUGUUUAUUAAAAACACAGCACUGUGCAAACACGAAAGUGGACGUAUACGGUGUGACGCCUGCCCGGUGCCGGAAGGUUAAUUGAUGGGGUUAGCGGCAACGCGAAGCUCUUGAUCGAAGCCCCGGUAAACGGCGGCCGUAACUAUAACGGUCCUAAGGUAGCGAAAUUCCUUGUCGGGUAAGUUCCGACCUGCACGAAUGGCGUAAUGAUGGCCAGGCUGUCUCCACCCGAGACUCAGUGAAAUUGAACUCGCUGUGAAGAUGCAGUGUACCCGCGGCAAGACGGAAAGACCCCGUGAACCUUUACUAUAGCUUGACACUGAACAUUGAGCCUUGAUGUGUAGGAUAGGUGGGAGGCUUUGAAGUGUGGACGCCAGUCUGCAUGGAGCCGACCUUGAAAUACCACCCUUUAAUGUUUGAUGUUCUAACGUUGGCCCGUAAUCCGGGUUGCGGACAGUGUCUGGUGGGUAGUUUGACUGGGGCGGUCUCCUCCUAAAGAGUAACGGAGGAGCACGAAGGUUGGCUAAUCCUGGUCGGACAUCAGGAGGUUAGUGCAAUGGCAUAAGCCAGCUUGACUGCGAGCGUGACGGCGCGAGCAGGUGCGAAAGCAGGUCAUAGUGAUCCGGUGGUUCUGAAUGGAAGGGCCAUCGCUCAACGGAUAAAAGGUACUCCGGGGAUAACAGGCUGAUACCGCCCAAGAGUUCAUAUCGACGGCGGUGUUUGGCACCUCGAUGUCGGCUCAUCACAUCCUGGGGCUGAAGUAGGUCCCAAGGGUAUGGCUGUUCGCCAUUUAAAGUGGUACGCGAGCUGGGUUUAGAACGUCGUGAGACAGUUCGGUCCCUAUCUGCCGUGGGCGCUGGAGAACUGAGGGGGGCUGCUCCUAGUACGAGAGGACCGGAGUGGACGCAUCACUGGUGUUCGGGUUGUCAUGCCAAUGGCACUGCCCGGUAGCUAAAUGCGGAAGAGAUAAGUGCUGAAAGCAUCUAAGCACGAAACUUGCCCCGAGAUGAGUUCUCCCUGACUCCUUGAGAGUCCUGAAGGAACGUUGAAGACGACGACGUUGAUAGGCCGGGUGUGUAAGCGCAGCGAUGCGUUGAGCUAACCGGUACUAAUGAACCGUGAGGCUUAACC
rnacentral:rRNA from 1 species